rnacentral:tRNA from 1 species
ACUAGAAACUUAGGUUAACAUAUAAACCAAGAGCCUUCAAAGCCCUAAAUAUGAGCUAUAAACC